CAGCCGCCACGGGAAUACGAAGGGUGCAAGCGUUACACGGAAUUACUGGGCGUAAAGCGUGCGUAGGUGGUGGUUUAAGUCCGUUGUGAAAGCCCUGGGCUCAACCUGGGAAUUGCAGUGGAUACUGGGUCACUAGAGUGUGGUAGAGGAUAGUGGAAUUUCCGGUGUAGCAGUGAAAUGCGUAGAGAUCGGAAGGAACAUCUGUGGCGAAGGCGACUAUCUGGGCCAACACUGACACUGAGGCACGAAAGCGUGGGGAGCAAACAGGAUUAGAUACCCCUGUAGUCCCUGUCUCUUAUAC
rnacentral:rRNA from 1 species